UCAGUAAAUCUGCACUUUAGUUUCAGUUUUUAGUUAAAUUUAGAGUCAAUAGCCCGGUUUAAAUUGUAAAAUUUCAGUAAACUUUUGGAAUUCGCUUCAGAAAGUAAAUUUUGGGAAGCACAUUUUGUUUUGGUUUGACAGUUUGACAUUUCUCUGCUGCUUUGAGUGUUUGCGUUGAAUGUCAGUUGGAUUGGCGUUAUGAUUUUAUGUUUUGGUAACGCUAUGUUGCACAGUGGGAGUGCAGAUAAGUUUAGUGGUCAAAAUGUUGGAAUGGUGUAAAGAAAAGUUGGAAAGUUUGAUAAGUUUAGUUGGAUAUCAGGUCUGUCUGAGUAGUGUGGGUUGGAUUGGAAUGUUUUGUAUUUUCUAAAUCUUUUGCAUUAGUGUAAGUUGGAGUAGUUGUCCAGACAUUUCUGGAAGUUUUCGGAAUUAGUUUAAGUUGAAAAUAUUUUCCAAACAUUUUUGGAGUAAUUUGGUAACAUUGGUUUAGUUAUAAGAAAUAUUGGUUUUCCAAAUAUUUUUGGAGUAAAAUUGGCAACUUUGGUUGAAAUUUAGUGUAAGGUUAGUUAGUUGGCAAAUGAUUUAGGAAAAUAAUAAACAUAAGUUGAGAUGGUUCAGAAUGUGAGAAGGGGAAGUAGAAGAUGUUGGAUGGAAUGAGUUCAAGUAAGAGGAUGGCAACAUAGUUUGUCUAUUUGGGGAAAAUAAGUUUGUUGGACUAUUAAUCAAUUGGAAUUUUUAGUUAAGAAAUAUGUUUUGAGUUGGAUUUUUGAGUUUGAACUUUAGUUUGAACUUAAAAAUUUUGUAAGUUUUCAACUUACAAAAUUUUUAAUAUUAGUGUGGGCGAAUGUAACCACAUCAUUGUGAGUCCCUGUAUGUAUGUUUGCUAAGAUAUGUUGGGUCAGCUAGGACACGCACCAAAUUAGGGAAACUUUGCUUUUUGAUCGUCGCCACCUAUGGGAGGAUAGCAGAAACCCUAUUUUGCACCGUUUUGCUCGAAAUAAAUGAUUUUUAAACAAAUUGUGUUCGGUUUGAAAUUAAAGCCAAUUGGGAAGCAUCUCCUGUGUAAAUUUUUUGAAGCUCAAUUUGUCCUUGAAAAUUAACAAGAAAGAGAGCAAAAUGAAAAGUCUUUUGUAUCAAAAUUUGGGAGAAAACUAAGAUUGCCGGUUCGUACAAGCGAUGAAGACUGACUCUCGUUCACUUUGGCAGAACUCGUGACACAGUCCGGAUCGUUUUGGAAGUAUUUUUACGACCGUGAUAAUUAGCGUCCUCUGAUCGUCGUCAAUUGCGAUCAGGUGAAAUCGUGGCAGUGAUAAUUUUUGAAAAAUUAACAGCACUAAGUGCAUCUGUGCAAGUCGAGGUGUGAAGAAUUUUCGAGGCAGAUCUGUGAUCGAGCCUAGUUGGCAGGAGAAAUUUGCAGGUGUGAGGCCGCCGCAAUCAGAACGAGUGAGAAAGGAACCCAUCAACGUGGGUGGCUUAUCUGGAGCUGGAAAGCUCAAACGUGGUCGUCUGGGAGCGCAAUCCUGGAUCGGAAGCAGUUUUUUUUUGGAACCGGAAGUGAAGUGUUUGUUAACCUUGAACUUUGAGAAUCUUUUGGUGUGUCGGAAUUUGGGGACAGCCCGUCGCUUUUCGCUGUUGGCACAGCUCUAUUGCCACCCCCAGCGGCAACCGGAAAAACGUCACACCGGUAACGCCUUAGUCGGUCUAGGACGCCAUCUCGUAGCACUUUAGCGAGAGCACGUUGGGAUCGAACGCUAGAGGUCAGUGUGGGAUCGGAUAACGCUACACGUCCGUAACCCCUCUGCCACGUGUUUGCUUUCGGGGUGGGUUAGCUUCGGCUCAAUACUCCCACGACUUCCGGAAACGCACGCCUGAGUUGGUAGCAGGUCCUUGUUGGAUCAAUGACGCCCCUCAGCAUACACUGACCCACCAACACAUGUGCAUUUGACCGAUUUAAGCCCCGACAACUAGCACCAUCUAUCGGCAGGACGCCAAAGCCGCAACAACAACACGC